GUACUGACUACGGCAGUACAUAUUCUUAUAUUGGAACGAUACAGAGAAGAUUAGCACGGUCAUUGCGCAAGGAGUACACGCAAAUUCGUGAAGCAUUCUAUAUAUUU